UUUUCGAUUCUAUAAACCUUGGCCGCGUGCAUAUUGCGUCCCACUUCGAGAACUACACUGUCGAAUAAGGAAGCUGCUUCACACGCUCAAGAAAAAGAUUCACUGUUAAUUAUCGAAAAAAAAAAAAAAUUGAAAAUGGAUCCACAGCAACAAGCCGACAAUGACAAUCAUGCGGAUCAGUGCAACCCAAACAACGCAGAGUAUCAAGGGCAUGAGUCUGGGUACACUGGAACUGGGGAUAAAGCUGACUUGGAUAACCAUUCAAAUCAGUUGAACCCGAAUAACGAUAGUUACCAGGGAAAGAAGUAGUUUUCUACUG